GGAGUCUUGCUCUGUUUCCCAGGAUGCAGUACAGUGGCGUGAUCUCGGCUCACGGCAGCCUCUGUCUCCUGGGUUCAAGUGAUUCUUCUGCCUCAGCCUCCCGAGUAGCCUGGAUUACAGGCAUACACCACCACGCCUGGCUAAUUUUUGUAGUUUUAGUAGAGACGGGGUUUCACCUUGUUGGCCAGACUGGUCUCUAACUCCUGACCUCGUGAUCUGCCCACCUCAGCCUCCCAAAGUGCUGGUUAUAGGCGUGAGCCACUGCGCCUGGCUGAAAUUUUGUCUUUUAUAGAAUCACAUAACUACUACCAUAGUCAGCAUACAGAACUAUUCCAUCACCACAAACUCCCUAGUGGUAGUCUUUUGAAACAUGGUCUCUCCAACCCUAACCUCCAACAGCCAGUGAUCUGUUCUCCACCACUAGAAUGUUGGCAUUUUAAGAAUCUUUUAUAUAAAAGGAAUCAUACAGUGUGUACCUUUUUAAAAUUGGCUGUUUUCACUUGGCAUGAUGUCCUAAGAUACAUCCAAGUCGUUGAGUGUAUCAGUUCUUUCCUGGCACAUCCCCCACAACCUUUUAUAAAAGGUCUUAAAUUGUUAUAUUUGAAUAUAGAUGAAAGAGUCUUCAUUGACUUGAAAGAUAAAGCUUUUCUGAUGAAGUUAAAUUGAGAUGUCGUUUCACAUCAAAGUUGAUAUGUAAACUGGAAAUACAUAGACUUUGGAUCCAUUUUCAACCCAGCUGUGGCUUUCCAAGACAACCUGAUACCGCUUUAUAGUAGCAAGCCCAAGUAUAGCAACAUGGUGGCUCCCUACUGUUCCCCACUGGAGCCACGGACCAGUUAGUGCAUCUUUCCCUACAUCAUGGCUCUUUCAAGUUAAAAUUAAGACAUGUAAAUGGCAAUGAUGAUUAAAAUUAAGACAUGUAAAUGGCAAUGUCUUGCCCUGUGUUUCCAUGCACAUUGUUUGGGGCUUUAGUUAUUUUAAUAAAUAGCAUAAAAAUUCGCUUACAUGUUUUAUUGGGGUAAGUUUACAUAAUGGAAUUGUCAAUGCCACUUCAAGUGUCUUCUGUUUAGCCCUCAGUUUCACUCAGUGAAUGUAGGUACGAUUUAUAUUGCACACUAUUGAAACAGAGAAAGUGAAUCAACUGACAGCCUCAUCAAGUACCUUUAUCACUGGGAGUCCUGUAAUGUUUAUACCAAACAAGAAGCUAUCUUAAUAGUAAAAAUGGAGCCUAAGCUUUUUAGGCAAAGUCUAAUUUGAUCACUUAUUACCACAUCUAAUUUAAGGCCAUAUCUAAUUUUUUUUGAGACAGAGUCUUACUUUUUCACCCUGGCUGGAAUGCAGUGGCAUGAUCUCGGCUCACUGUGAUCUCCACCUCCCAGGUUCAAGUGAUUCUCCUGCCUCAGCCUCCUGAGUAGCUGGGACUACAGGGCUGUGGCACCACGCCCAGCUAAUUUUUCUAUUUUUAGUAGAGACACGGUUUCACUGUGUUGGCCAGGCUGGUCUCGAACUCCUGACCUCAGGUGAUCCACCAACCUUGACCUCCCAAAGUGCUGGGAUUACAGGCGUGAGCCACUGCACCUGGCCAAGGCCACA
rnacentral:lncRNA from 1 species